UACGAAGGGGGCUAGCGUUGUUCGGAAUCACUGGGCGUAAAGGGCGCGUAGGCGGCUUUGUAAGUCGGGGGUGAAGGCCUGUGGCUCAACCACAGAAUUGCCUUCGAUACUGCAUGGCUUGAGACCGGAAGAGGUAAGUGGAACUGCGAGUGUAGAGGUGAAAUUCGUAGAUAUUCGCAAGAACACCAGUGGCGAAGGCGGCUUACUGGUCCGGUUCUGACGCUGAGGCGCGAAAGCUAGGGGAGCGAACAGG
rnacentral:rRNA from 1 species